GAGGAAGGGAGUAAAGUUAAUACCUUUGCUCAUUGACGUUACCCGCAGAAGAAGCACCGGCUAACUCCGUGCCAGCAGCCGCGGUAAUACGGAGGGUGCAAGCGUUAAUCGGAAUUACUGGGCGUAAAGCGCACGCAGGCGGUUUGUUAAGUCAGAUGUGAAAUCCCCGGGCUCAACCUGGGAACUGCAUCUGAUACUGGCAAGCUUGAGUCU
rnacentral:rRNA from 1 species